rnacentral:rRNA from 1 species
UACAGAGGUCCCAAGCGUUGUUCGGAUUCACUGGGCGUAAAGGGUGCGUAGGUGGUCGGGUAAGUCUGAGGUGAAAUCUCCGAGCUCAACUCGGAAACUGCCUUGGAUACUAUCCGGCUUGAGGGUUGGAGGGGGGACUGGAAUUCUCGGUGUAGCGGUGAAAUGCGUAGAUAUCUGGAGGAACACCGGUGGCGAAGGCGGCAUCCUGGACCAAUAUUGACGCUGAGGAGCGAAAGCCAGGGGAGCAAACGGG